AGAGCGGGUGCGAGGCGGGCACAAAGGGUCUCUGUUUUCGGGGGCUAAGUGGCACUCAGUUGAUCAAUUACCAGAUCAAUUGACUUCUCAAAUUCUAAUAUAAAUAAGAAUCACUUGACUCUCUUGUUAAAAUGCGGAUUCUGAUCCAGAAGGUCUGGGGUGGAGACCUGAGAUCCUGCAUUUCUAAUAAGCUCCCAGGUGGCGAUGACGAAGCUCUUGGUCGGAGGAUCACGCUUUGAAUUGCACCUGUCCGAAAGUAAUGGCUGUAGCCCCAGCUCCACGUAAUUUGAAACUUGCACGACCUUUCUUGUCCUUCUUCCACUGAUGAGAAGCGUUCCUGUGGCUACAUGGGGUGUCCCGGUGAUGCUUACAGUUUGGGCACCAGCUGAGGGAAGGUGUGUUUAAUCCCCACAUUACCCACCCUUGGUCUAUGGAGCAGCAAUCAUGCCAACUUGGUGACUGGAGUGUGGAACCAGAAGUGGAGACGGAAUGGCCAUGGAAGAGAACACUGUGUCUACGUUAAUCCUAAAGGGUUGGGCGUGUGUGUCUGAGUGGCGCGGUGCCAGACACUUGGCCAGAGAAGUGGUAUAAGUGGUCCCUGCUUCUCAAAACGUAACAAUUUGUUGUAGAACUAUACAGGCUAGUUCAGAAAGAAGCAUGUGGAGAAAACAUCCGGGAAGCUAACAGUCACAGCACAAAUUCAGGCAUAAGCUAAAGAGGUUGUAAAAUAAUAUGCCUUGAGGGUCUUAAAAACUGUCCAAAUAUUCUUCUGUCAGUAAUUCCAGAGUCUAGAAGUUAGGACUCCCACUGGCCCUGUCAUUUCUCAAAUUUGACCUAAGGACUCAGUGUUUUCGGACUGGCCAGCUAGAACCUUUGUCGUUCAGCGUAGCCAAGCUCUUAUUACCCAGUAGUGUACCGCCGUGGUUCAAGAUUCUUAAGUGCUGAAUUCUCCAAAACCUUCAUCUCUCAUCUCUUGAAACCAGGUGGUAUAACCCUGCUUCAGCAUUUCUCUCUCACUAUCAAGGUGAUCAAACUGUCGCUUAGAGAAAACUUCACCUUUGUCAGUGUGUCCUGAACUUCUCUGGCUUCUCAUCCCCAGAAGUGAAGCCCACCUAGCAAUCUCAGACAUUGUUCAUCACAUUGUCCCUAUCAGAGAUGGCAUCGCACAAAAUUCAGAGUUUCUGGGAACAUGUUAAACCUGUCACAGCAAUGGUUCUGGCUACAGCAGGAGUAAAGAAAUGUCUAAGCAAGAAAAAUGUUUUGAAAGCCUCAAAAAAAGUUUGUUUGCUGUCAUUAAACCAGUGGUUCUCAAGCCUAGCUGGAUGGUAAGUAUUUAUGGAAGUAGGUUGUGGGGCCCUGUGCCUGGAGAUUCUGAUUGGGAUGAGAAGUGGGGCUUGGGCAGCUAUAGGUUUAAAAAGUUCUACUGGCAAUUUGAUAUCCAUCCAUGCUUGAGAACACCUGCAUAAGCUGCUAGAUCGAUAGACGCAUUUUUUAACAGGGAAAACUAAACUCUGCAACACAAAUCACUAAUGACAUACACACUCUGAAAACAGAAGAAAGUUUCCACAUAAUUUUUGAGAACUGAUUUUUAAAGGCCAAAAGAAGCAACAAGAAACAAAGACUCUUGCUUGAGGAUGUGAAUUUGAAAAAAAAAAUCCAGGCUGUCGUUCAUCCUCUGUUUUUCAGUCUACUUGCCUCAUACAUAUAACCUGGUUUUCCUGUCUUGGGAAAUGGAUAUAUUAGUAACUUGAUAUGAGUUAGCUCAAACCAGGUUUCCUACCCCUUAGUCCAGAAAUUGCCCAGCAAGAGAUUUAGGUAUAUUUGAAAAGAAAGAAAAAGAUAAGAUAUAAGCCAUCCACCAUUUUGCCAAGUCCCAGAAAUCCACCCAUUGUUGUAUUAUUAUUAGAACCCCCAUAGACUGCUUUAUAAUUGCUAAUUACCUUUUUAUCUCUCUGACAAUAAAUAGCUUCUCUAAACUUAAUUGAUUUCAUUCAUGAAGACCGAUAGAUUACCCAAGGUUCUAGUCUCCAUCUGUCAUACAAAUCCUGGCAGGAUAACAUUUUGUGUCUAUGUAUCUGUGUUUUAAUAACUGAUACUUUUAUCCCUUUACUGUGACUGUGUACAGAUUUAACCCAACCACAAGGCAUUUUUGUAGAAAACUUGGUUUUCUUUAUAUUCUCUAUAACGAAUGUUAAGAAUAUUAAUAUUCGCUUUUAUAUUUUCACAAAACAAUUUAGACUUAAAAUAUGUGUAGAUAAUAUAUACCUCUCUGUACCUCCCCCAACUUAAGAAAUCAAGCAUUAUACAUACAGUUGAAGACCUCAUGUGCCCCUCCCAACAAGCUGAUUUUUUUUAAAUGGAGAUUUCAAAAUUUGCAAGCUUAUUCACCAAGGAGAGAUAAUGGUUUAUGGAAGGAACACCUAUCUCAUGCAUGUAAUAGGCAAUACAAGUGUAAAUGGGCAAAAGUCUUACUGAAUAAAAUGUUUGGACAUUCCAAACUGAUAUAAGAAAAAGCUAAGAAAGCUGGAAAUCACCUGUGGUUCAAAACCUGUGUCUUAACAAUUACAAACUGGACGUGGGAAGCAGGUAAGCUUCAGAAAACAACAGUUUGGAGCAGAGAUGAGGUAAGGAUUCAGGUUUCAUUCUUUCAAUCAACACACUACAUGAGCCUUGUCUUUUAGCUCAUUUUAAGAGAGGUAAGCUACCACAAUUCAAAAUAAAAACUUUUAUGUUACAAGCGAGGCGCAUAACACUGUAAGAUCGCGUAGAGAUGGAGUACCAAUUCUGACUGAUGAAAUCAGGGAAAGCUUUCUGCAAGAAAUUAUACGUGAACUGAAUUCCGGAGUUGUAGGAGUUAACCAGGUGUUGUGGACUGUUUCUCCCCAAAAUUCAUAUGUUGAAACCUCCCAUCCCCAGUGGAUGAUGUUGGGAGGUGGGGCCUUUGGGAGGUAAUUAGGAUUAGAUGAGGUUGUAACGGUAGAGCCCUCAUGAAUAGGAUUAAUGCCCUUUUUAAAGUCUCCAGAGACUUGCUUCUGCUCUCUGCCAUGUGAGGAUACAAUAAGAAGUCAGCAGACUGUCAUCCAGAAGAAGUCCCUCACCAGCACUUGUCCAUGCUGGUACCCUGAUCUCCAGCCUCUUGACCUGUGAAAAUAAAUUUCUGUUGUUUAUAAACCAUCCAGCUUAUGGCACUUUGCUAUAGCAGCCCGAAUGGACUAAGAUGCCAGCAAAGGGCAAAAGAAAGGGUGUUCUGGGCCUAGGGAACAGCCCACAUGAAAGCAUAAGAGCAUAGAGCAUUGGGAAAGAGAAAGUAGUGUUAUUUAACUGGGUUUAACAGGAGAAGGGGAAAAAAUGAUGAUUGAAAGGUGGGGCAAAGACCAGAAUUGAAAAAUUGCAAAUGCAUGAUAUGCCAUUCCUCCCUCCUCCUGUACAUAUGGCAGAUAAUCAAUCAUAGUAUUCAACUCUGUUAUAGUGAUUAUGAGUAAAA
rnacentral:lncRNA from 1 species